rnacentral:snRNA from 1 species
AUACUUACCUGGCAGGGGAGAUACCAUGAUCACGAAGGUGGUUUUCCCAGGGCGAGGCUUAUCCAUUGCACUCAGGAUGUGCUGACCCCUGGGAUUUCCCCAAAUGUGGGAAACUCAGCUGCAUAAUUUGUGGUAGUGGGGGACUGCAUUUGCGCUUUCCCCUG